rnacentral:rRNA from 1 species
UGGUCAAGUUAUUAAGGGUGCAGGGCGGAUGCCUUGGCACUAGGAGCCGAUGAAGGACGUGAUAAGCUGCGAUAAGCUUCGGGGAGUUGCACGUAAACUUUGAUCCGAAGAUUUCCGAAUGAGGAAACUCACUUAGAGUAAUGUCUAAGUAUCAUUAAGUGAAUACAUAGCUUAAUGAGGGGAACUCAGGGAACUGAAACAUCUAAGUACCUGAAGGAAGAGAAAGAAAUUCGAUUCCG